UGCAAGUCGUACGGGGCCGGCAGCAAUGCCGGUCCAGUGGCGGACGGGUGAGUAAUGAAUCGCUAACGUGCCCCGCAGUCCGGGAUAGCUACCCGAAAGGGUAGGUAAUACCGGGUGACAUUCCCCGCGGGCAUCCGCGGGGACUCAAAGGGAAACCGCUGCGGGAGCGGGCGAUUUCGUAUCAGCUGGUUGGUGGGGUAACGGCCCACCAAGGCGACGACGCGUAGCCGGACUGAGAGGUUGGCCGGCCACAUUGGGACUGAGACACUGCCCAGACUCCUACGGGGGGCUGCAGUAACGAAUCUUCCGCAAUGCCCGCAAGGGUGACGGAGCGACGCCGCGUGGGGGACGAAGUCCUUCGGGAUGUAAACCCCUGUCGGGGGCCACCAAGUUCUGAGGGGCCCCAGAGGAAGGCACGGCUAACUCUGUGCCAGCAGCCGCGGUAAGACAGAGGUGCCGAGCGUUAGGCGGAAUCACUGGGCUUAAAGCGUGUGUAGGCGGACCGUUAAGUGCCUUGUGAAAUCCCACGGCUCAACCGUGGAACGGCUGGGCAGACUGGCGGUCUUGAGCCACCUAAGGGCGGACGGAACAAGCGGUGGAGCGGUGAAAUGCGUAGAUAUCGCUUGGAACGCCGACGGCGAAAGCAGUCCGCUGGGGGUGAGCUGACGCUGAGACACGAAAGCCAGGGGAGCGAACGGGAUUAGAUACCCCGGUAGUCCUGGCCGUAAACGAUGUCGACUAGGUCGCGGCCGCCUCCUGACGGGCGGUCGCGGC
rnacentral:rRNA from 1 species